UACGUAGGGGGCGAGCGUUGUCCGGAUUUAUUGGGCGUAAAGAGCGUGUAGGCGGCCAGGUAGGUCUGCUGUGAAAACUCGAGGCUCAACCUCGAGACGUCGAUGGAAACCAUCUGGCUAGAGUCCGGAAGAGGAGAGUGGAAUUCCUGGGUGUAGCGGUGAAAUGCGCAGAUAUCAGGAAGAACACCCGUGGCGAAGGCGGCUCUCUGGUACGUGACUGACGCUGAGACGCGAAAGCGUGGGGAGCAAACAGG
rnacentral:rRNA from 1 species